ACCGGCAGCUCAAGUGGUGGCCACUAUUACUGGGCUUAAAGCGUUCGUAGCUGGCUUGUUAAGUCUCUGGGGAAAUCUUGCGGCUCAACCGGGAGGCUUCUCAGAGAUACUGGUAGGCUAGAGACCGGAAGAGGUUAGAGGUACUCCCGGGGUAGGAGUGAAAUCCUGUAAUCCUUGGGGGACCACCUGUGGCGAAGGCGCCUAACUAGGACGGACCUGACAGUGAGGAACGAAAGCCGGGGGAGCAAACCG
rnacentral:rRNA from 1 species